GGUUAGAUAACAUAAUUGGUUAAUGUAAAGGACUGCAAAUCCUUUAAUGACGGUUCAAAUCCGUCUCUAACUU
rnacentral:tRNA from 1 species